rnacentral:lncRNA from 1 species
UUUGGUAUCUUCUUCUCCAUGCACCAUUUCUCAUCUCCUCCCGAGCUCACUUCCCUGUUAGUCUCUUCUGCUCCUUCAUUAUCAUUCAUGUGUUGGUGUGAAAGGAGAGAUCAUCUUUAUUGUGUUCGUGUGUUGACGUUGGAGGAUACGAGACGCGCCGUUCACCAUCAAUCACCACCGGAUCCAUUGUAGCUGAUUCCUAUGGAACAAUGGUAGCUCUUGCUCUUGUUGGUGUCAUGUAGCAGAGCUGAGACGUGGGGGAGAGACGAGUGAUGUCGGCGUUGUCGCUUCUCAUCAUCAUGACGCCGAUCCACACCACCACCAUACCAGCCGUGAACUAGUGGACGAGUAUGCCAUGCUACCGGAGAGCCGCGGCGUGUCACCGGCGAUAGUACAUCAUGGAGUCGGAGAUCCAUAACCGUGAGCCUUGCCGUGAGGUUGAGUGGUCUUUAU